AUGAAUGAAAACAUCACAAAGCUGCCCGUCCAUCACAUGCUGACAGUGUGGCUGCUGACCGACCGCAGGGCUGGGGAGAUGCAGGGAGGACUUGAGUCAGCGGGAUGGGGCCCCAGUGCGGCUCCAUGAGUUGGCGAUAUGCACAUGUGGAUGCAGGACACUCCUCGGCAGCGAGUGGUAAAGCAGAGCAUCAUUGUUUGGCUCUCUUUGGCACUUGAGGACAGAAGACAAAGCUCAGAGCCUGGCCAUGCUGGGGGGCUAAUGGAAGACCACCUCCAUGAAUCCUGGGCUCCCAAGGGCUCCCUUCAAGGAAGAAGACCUCAUAAUGGAAACCAGAACAAGGUGACCCAGUGCCUGUCUGAGAUGGCGGCUGAACGAAGCAGCGCAGGGAAGCCCGAAGGCUCGAGAAAGCGGUGGUAGGUCUUUUCUCCCCCUGGCUUCCUCUCCUUCAUGCUCCUUUUCUGGGUCAUGCUCUGGUUUAUUUUCUGGGUGCUGCCCAUGGUCAGUCACACACCAGGCUUGGUGGGGCUGCCAGUAUUCCCGGGUAGUGUGAGAGACACCACUGCAUUGGAGCAAUGAACCCCACAGCCAAGGCCUCGGUGCCCACAGAGCCUGGUGGCUGGGAUGGUCCACGGUGAAGUUCCCCACUGUGCCAUCAGACAGAAGGACAAGCAGGCCGUGGGGGACAGUGGACAGCACUCAGGAUCAGGGAACCCCGAAGAGAACAGGGUUGGAUCUCACUCUAUCGGCACAAGGUCUCAGGCACACUGGCUCUUCACUGAGCUUGUUUCCCAGCCUGUGCAGUGGGGACAGCCACGAUGCCACGUCCAUCAGGACAAGGAGGUGACCAUGGGUGUGAGAGCCCCGCCCAGGCUAUGGAGUCCAUCACAGGUGAUCCUGGCGAUUGUAGGGCAUGGGCAUCAUGGGGCUCAGCAGAGAAGAGCACACAUGCGCAGAAGGGACGGACCAGCCCUUGCUGUCCCCUUAAAUUGCCUUUUGGGCCGAUGUCUGGGGCUCUGCUCUUCUGUGAUUUCUGGAGCUGGCUGCAGAUCACCCUGUCCCUCUGCCCUCCUCUCCUACCGCUGGAAGUCAGGGCUGUUGAUCUGAGGCCCGCAGCUUGCUGGAGCCCGAGGCGGCAGCAGGCGCUUAUCGGCUGCUGCUUUGAGGCCGGCCUCUGCGGUGCAGGGGGCGGGGGGCUCUGCCAAACAUCUUCCAGAUGUGGCCACAGCUACCCGAUAGCCUGGCUCUGGCUGAGGCCCGCAGCCAGCAGGCUCCUGUUAGCUGAGCCGUUUAGGAAAACAAAACCCAGUGAUGGCACGAGAGGCCCAACUUCUCGGAAGGCAGAGAAAGUAGUGGCUGGGCUGGCGCAUGGUCCCAGGCCCAGAGAGCCAGGCCUGCCCAGCCUGGCCCUGAGCUUGGGGUGGUCACAGCCAUCUGCUGGCUGCCUCCUGGGGGGCCCAGUCUCUUAGCCUACAGGGGCUCCCUGGGGCUGAAUGUUCACUGUGCAUGAGGGUGGGGGA